AAGAAAAUUCUUAUAGUGAUCCACAUGACUGAGAAAGUUCCAGAAUGUGCACCCUACAGUGAGAUGGAAAUGGAUUUCCCUGGCAUAUUUUGAGAGUUUGGGAAGAUCCCUGCGAACCUUUCUAUGGCAUCCCCUCAACUUUGGUUUACCCAGAAUCCAUGGUGCUCUGGUAGCACCUAUGCUCCAUAAUGCAAACAGGGCCUCAUUCCACUCUGUUCAUGGAGGAGGUUCUCCGCUGAUUGGUACCAACAAAUGUCCAGGAUUCUCUUAAAGAAAUUACACAUCCUCAUUGACAUCACC